rnacentral:rRNA from 1 species
GAAAGUAAAUAAGGGCGUAUGGGGAAUGCCUAGGCUCUUGGAGGCGAAGAAAGACGUGGUAAGCUGCGAAAAGCUCCGGGGAUUUGCAAACAAGAUUUGAUCCGGAGAUUUCUGAAUGGGACAACCCGUCAGGUAGAAGACCUGACACAUCGCAAGAUGGGCCAACCCUCUGAACUGAAACAUCUUAGUAGGAGGAGGAAAAGAAAGAAACAUCGAUUUCCUGAGUAGCGGCGAGCGAAAGGGAAAAAGCCUAAACCGGUAUUGUUACGGCAAUGCCGGGGUUGUAGGACUGCAAUAUUCAAGUAACAAUGAACUGGAACGAUCUGGAAAGUUCGUCCAUAGAGGGUGAAAGGCCCGUACAGGUAAGUUCGUUAUGCGAUAGCAGUAUCCUGAGUAGGGCGGGACACGAGGAAUCCUGUCUGAAUCCGCCGGGACCACCCGGUAAGGCUAAAUACUCCCAAGAGACCGAUAGUGAACCAGUACCGUGAGGGAAAGGUGAAAAGAACCCCGAACAGGGGAGUGAAAUAGAACCUGAAACCAUACGCUUACAACCGGUCGGAGCAGCUUCGUGCUGUGACGGCGUGCCUAUUGAAUAAUGAGCCUACGAGUUACUAAUCACUGGCGAGGUUAAGUGCACGGAUGCACGGAGCCGAAGCGAAAGCGAGUCUGAACAGGGCGGCUAGUCAGUGGUUGUAGACGCGAAACCUUGCGAUCUACCCUUGAGCAGGUUGAAGGUUGGGUAAAACCAACUGGAGGACCGAACGAAUAAGCGUUGAAAAGCUUCUCGAUGACUUGAGGGUAGGGGUGAAAGGCUAAUCAAGCUGGGAAAUAGCUCGUACUCCCCGAAAUGCCUUUAGGGGCAGCGUUGUAAUUAAGAGUCUACUGGAGGUAGAGCUACUGAUUGGAUGCGGGGGCUUCACCGCCUACCAAAUCCUGACAAACUCCGAAUGCCAGUAGUAUGAUUUACAGCAGUGAGCGACCGGGUGCUAAUGUCCGGUUACGAGAGUGGAACAACACAGACCAGCAACUAAGGUCCCGAAGAGUAUACUAAGUUGAUCUAACGAUGUUUUGCUGCAGAGACAGCUAGGAUGUUAGCUUGGAAGCAGCUAUUCAUUCAAAGAGUGCGUAACAGCUCACUAGUCGAGCGGCAAAGCGUGGAUAAUAAACGGGCAUCAAGUAUACCACCGAAGUUCUGGGCACGAAAGUGCGGUAGGGGAGCAUUCCAUUGACGUCGAAGCCAUUCCGCGAGGAUAGGUGGAGUUUAUGGAAAAGCAAAUGUAGGCAUGAGUAACGAUAAUGCGGGAGAGUAACCCGCACACCGCAAGACCAAGGUUUCCUGAUCAACGCUAAUCGGAUCAGGGUUAGUCGGGUCCUAAGGGUAAGCCGAACGGUGAUCUCGAUGGACAAUCGGUUAAUAUUCCGAUACUAACAUAUACCUCGAUGGAGAGACGAAGGAACGUAAGUGACGCCGCCUGACGGAAUAGGUGGUUAAAGGGCGUAGGUAUAGGGACAGAUUAAGAGUUAGUCCUUGCUGAAAUCCGACAGUACGGAGCGGCUACGGCCAAUCUGAUAGUUCACCCAAGUCGACUUCCGAGAAAAUCUUCUAAGUUAUAGUAUAUGUUACCCGUACCGUAAACCGACACAGGUGGUCGAGGAGAGUAUCCUAAGGUGCUCGAGUGAAUCACGGUUAAGGAACUAGGCAAAUUAACCCCGUAACUUCGGGAAAAGGGGUCCCUACGCGAGUAGGGCGCAGCGAAGAGGUCCAGGCGACUGUUUAUCAAAAACACAGGGCUCUGCAAAUUCGAAAGAAGACGUAUAGGGCCUGACACCUGCCCGGUGCUGGAAGGUUAAGAGGGGAUGUCAUCGCAAGAGAAGCAUUGAAUCGAAGCCCCAGUAAACGGCGGCCGUAACUAUAACGGUCCUAAGGUAGCGAAAUUCCUUGUCGGGUAAGUUCCGACCUG